rnacentral:tRNA from 1 species
GCCUGUGGCCUAGUGGGUUAGGUUACAGUCUUGGGAACAUGGGAUCGUAGGUUCAAGUCCAGCUUGGAACA